rnacentral:rRNA from 1 species
UACGGAGGGGGCUAGCGUUGUUCGGAAUUACUGGGCGUAAAGCGCGCGUAGGCGGACCUGCAAGUCGGGGGUGAAAGCCCGAGGCUCAACCUCGGAACUGCCUUCGAUACUGCGGGUCUCGAGUCCGGGAGAGGUGAGUGGAAUUCCUAGUGUAGAGGUGAAAUUCGUAGAUAUUAGGAAGAACACCAGUGGCGAAGGCGGCUCACUGGCCCGGUACUGACGCUGAGGCUGCGAAAGCGUGGGGAGCAAACAGG